GACGAACGCUGGCGGCGUGCUUAACACAUGCAAGUCGAACGGGAAGGCCCUGCUUUUGUGGGGUGCUCGAGUGGCGAACGGGUGAGUAACACGUGAGUAACCUGCCCUUGACUUUGGGAUAACUUCAGGAAACUGGGGCUAAUACCGGCUAGGAGCUCCUGCUGCAUGGUGGGGGUUGGAAAGUUUCGGCGGUUGGGGAUGGACUCGCGGCUUAUCAGCUUGUUGGUGGGGUAGUGGCUUACCAAGGCUUGGACGGGUAGCCGGCCUGAGAGGGGGACCGGCGACACUGGGACGGAGACACGGCCGAGACUCCUACGGGAGGCAGCGGUGGGGAAUAUUGGACAAGGGGGGAAAGCCUGAUCCAGCAAUGCCGCGUGAGUGAUGAAGGACGUAGGGUUGUAAAGCUCGUUUACCCGGGAUGAUAAUGACAGUACCGGGAGAAUAAGCUCCGGCUAACUCCGUG
rnacentral:rRNA from 1 species